AGAGUUUGAUCCUGGCUCAGGAUGAACGCUGGCGGCGUGCUUAACACAUGCAAGUCGAACGAAGCACUUAAGACGGAUUACUUCGGUUUGAAGUCUUAUUUGACUGAGUGGCGGACGGGUGAGUAACGCGUGGGUAACCUGCCUCAUACAGGGGGAUAACAGUUAGAAAUGACUGCUAAUACCGCAUAAGCGCACGGUCUCGCAUGGGACGGUGUGAAAAACUCCGGUGGUAUGAGAUGGACCCGCGUCUGAUUAGCUGGUUGGCGAGGUAAGGGCUCACCAAGGCGACGAUCAGUAGCCGGCCUGAGAGGGUGAACGGCCACAUUGGGACUGAGACACGGCCCAAACUCCUACGGGAGGCAGCAGUGGGGAAUAUUGCACAAUGGGGGAAACCCUGAUGCAGCGACGCCGCGUGAAGGAAGAAGUAUUUCGGUAUGUAAACUUCUAUCAGCAGGGAAGAAAAUGACGGUACCUGACUAAGAAGCCCCGGCUAACUACGUG
rnacentral:rRNA from 1 species